rnacentral:rRNA from 1 species
UGGGGAAUUUUGGACAAUGGGCGCAAGCCUGAUCCAGCCAUGCCGCGUGUCUGAAGAAGGCCUUCGGGUUGUAAAGGACUUUUGUCAGGGAAGAAAAGGACAGGGUUAAUACCUCUGUUUGAUGACGGUACCUGAAGAAUAAGCACCGGCUAACUACGUGCCAGCAGCCGCGGUAAUACGUAGGGUGCGAGCGUUAAUCGGAAUUACUGGGCGUAAAGCGAGCGCAGACGGUUACUUAAGCAGGAUGUGAAAUCCCCGGGCUCAACCUGGGAACUGCGUUCUGAACUGGGUGACUAGAGUGUGUCAGAGGGAGGUAGAAUUCCACGUGUAGCAGUGAAAUGCGUAGAGAUGUGGAGGAAUACCGAUGGCGAAGGCAGCCUCCUGGGAUAACACUGACGUUCAUGCUCGAAAGCGUGGGUAGCAAACAGGAUUAGAUACCCUGGUAGUCCACGCCCUAAACGAUGUCAAUUAGCUGUUGGGCAACUUGAUUGCUUAGUAGCGUAGCUAACGCGUGAAAUUGACCGCCUGGGGAGUACGGUCGCAAGAUUAA